UCCUUUAGAGACCUACAGUCAGUUGCUGUGCUUUGGGUAAUUAGCACAAUUAAGCCUGAUUUGGUUCGCUGCUCUCUCAGCUCUAUCAAACACACUUUUUUUUUUAAAAGCUUAUUUAGAGAAAGGGUUAAAUACCUCCACACUGUAUAAAAGCACCCUCAGGUGCUCAUACCUUCACAGCUGUGCUGUUAGACCUGCUGGCAUCUGGAGCAGGAGGAUGGGAUCUUGGAUGGACAAGAGAGCCACCACAUCCCCUGGCCACCAGCACCGUUCAUGCAUGCUGAGCGACCACAGAGCCCUGCAAAGGCCUUCAUUUGAGGGUGGUUUGGACUAACAGAAUGCAAACAGAUUUUGAAACAUCAGAAGUUGCCAUGAAACAAACUCGCUGUUUGCCAGCCAGCUCUCACUGCGGGUCACGGCUAGCCCUUGCUUAAGCCUUCUGAAGUCAGAAAUUACACAGAAGCAGCAUCCAUCUCUGCACAGAUCUGUAUGGAGAAAUGUGACUUGUGAUCAUCUUUUAAAACAAACUUAACUAUUGGGUUUAUUACUUUCUGUGUUCGGUCCCUCCUUACUUUCAGCAAAUAUUUGCAAGAAACACCACACCUUACAUAUGGGAAGUGAGCUGCUGCAGUGUGGCAUGCAGUGUGAGCAUGGCAGUGCCCUCUGCUUCUCACCCCCAAGAGCAGGGGAUGCCAUCUGCCAAUAUUUUUUUUUUUAAACCAGGCUCAGGGUUUGAUCUAAGAGAGAAUUGUAAUUUCAGUGUCUGAUUCGGAAUGCACUGACACUGCUGAAUAUUUAUAAAGGACUUUUUCCAAAUCAAUCAGUGUUGCUCUUGACCUGAAUUCAGGCAGUUGGGUUUUUCAUCCCCUCUCAUCAUGAUUUCAUUUUCUCAUCCCCGUCACCGCAUGGAUUUUUCUGCAGUGACUAAUUCUGAGGAGCGUAAGCUCGCUGCUGAAAAGCAGCGUCAGAAAUGUAUGGUUAUCCAGGAUAAUGGGUGCCAAUGGCACAAAUCCUACAGCUGUGUGAGGGGGAAAAUGACAGUCAUCUGAAUGCCAAAUUGUUUGUGUCCCUUCAUCACCCUAGAGCUUCUGAAAAGAAAAGCAAUUCUUUUAAAGGGUCUGAGGAAUAGCAUCACAAG